GUCCUGGGUAGCCUAGUGGACAUGGCAUCUGCCCGGUAAGCGGAACAUUGUGGGUUCUAUUCCCAUUCCUGGACA
rnacentral:tRNA from 1 species